AUAUAUUUUGGAGAGACCUGUGGUGAUGCUUAACCGGUCUCCCUUAUUUCCAUGAAUAAAAUAUAACUAAACCCUAAAAUCUUUCCCCCAAAUUUUUAUUCUUCAAUCCGCCUCCUCUUCCUCUCUCUCUCCUCCUCUUACCUCAAAUUCCUUAUUCCUUCUUUUCGUGAACCAUUUCAUUCAUAUUUCAAUUUAAAUUCCUCCAUUUCUUGUUUCAAUUCAUCUUUUCUUCAUACUUUAAACCUAAAUUUUUGAUGUUUAUCAUUUUCAUCAACCUCGGUACAAUAUAAAUUCUUCCGCUUUCAAUUCGUCUCCAUAAACAAACAAAUGAAGCUUCAGAAGUACCUUUAAUGGGGUUCGAGCUUCUCUUUUUAAUUUUCUGAGUCACGUUAUAGAAAGAAUGGACCGUCAAGGAAGAUGAUCUACCAUUUGGUGGCUUCACGAACGACUCGCUUCAAAUUUCGAUGAUAUAUAAUUGUUUAUCACUAAGAACAAGUUAUCUAUGAGCUAAUGUUUAACGAAGAUAUGAUAUGAAGAUGACGAGGAUGGUAACGGAUGAUGAUGAAGAUAAUCACUCCAAUGAAACAAGUGGAUGAUAGUUCAUUUUUAGUGUUAAUUUUCUUUUUAUAAGAUUACAAAUUAAUACUUCCUUCGUUUCUAUUUAGUUGACGCGUUUGAUUUAGGCACAUAUAUUAAGGAGAGGAGAGAGAAUGAAAAGGCAAGUGGGGUACGUAGCUUGUAAAUGCAAGGUAAAAAGUUUACCCCAAAAGGAAACGUAUCAACUAAAAAAAACUUCCUAAAUAGGAAUACGUGUUAACUAAAAAGAAACGGGGGUAGUAGAUUAUAGUACCUAGAUAAAUUAUCUAAUACAUACUAUAAAUUACGAAGUAUCUAAUAUGUAAAUACUUCGUAUGUAUAUGUACUACAAACUAAUAGAUUAUAGUACCGUAGAUUGUAUUAUUUUUUUUCGAGCGAAAUAUGAAAUUGUAUA